rnacentral:rRNA from 1 species
UACAGAGGUCCCGAGCGUUUGUUCGGAUUCAUUGGGCGUAAAGGGUGCGUAGGCGGCUUCCUAAGUUUGAUGUGAAAUCCUGGGGCUCAACCCUGGAACUGCAUUGAAUACUGGGAGGCUAGAGUACUGGAGAGGAAACUGGAAUUUACGGUGUAGCAGUGAAAUGCGUAGAGAUCGUAAGGAAGACCAGUGGCGAAGGCGGGUCUCUGGACAGUUCCUGACACUGAGGCACGAAGGCCAGGGGAGCAAACGGG